rnacentral:lncRNA from 1 species
CCCUUUUCCACCUUUUAUUUGGUUCAAAGUAAAACUGUCUGUUUUAACAAGCCCCCCCUUCUAUUGGUCCAAUGUUGCUCGGGCGGUUGUUUGGCCGCCUACGGGCUCUGCCAUAGGCGGUGCAGGACGACGGGGCGCGGCGGGGGACACGGCGGCCGCCGCGGGGCUCGAUCGGGCAACGGCGGCGGCGGCGGCGGCGGCGGCGGCGGCGGCGGCGACGGCGGCGGCGGCGGCAGCAGCAGCAGCAGCAGCAGCAGCGACGACGGGUCUUCCUCCUCCUCCAGCCCCUUGCCCUCUUUUCCUUUCUCCUUUCCGGCCGGAUCUCGUCCACUUCCCCUAACAGCGGCCCCAAUCCUACGUAAAGGCAUGACUUCCUGGCACCUCAGGGAAAACAGGGUACAAGCCCAGAAACUAUUUCCCCACCACCACUUGUUGAAAAACUGACCUGAAGGCGUCUCCGCGUUUGAUCAAACGGGAAAGUGCCAGGAUUUGAUGCGUCUCUGGCUUUGUGCUGGAGACCAUUCCCUGCUGAGUAUCAAGACGAAAAAAACUGGAAACUAAUCCGAACCGAAUUCAAAGUAAAAAUGGAAAGAUUUGUAGUAACAGCACCACCUGCUCGGAACCGUUCUAAGACUGCUUUGUAUGUGACUCCCCUGGAUCGAGUCACCGAGUUUGGAGGGGAGCUGCAUGAAGAUGGAGGAAAGCUCUUCUGCACUUCUUGCAAUGUGGUUCUGAAUCAUGUUCGCAAGUCUGCCAUUAGUGACCACCUCAAGUCAAAGACUCAUACCAAGAGGAAGGCAGAAUUUGAAGAGCAAAAUGUGAGAAAGAAGCAGAGGCCCCUAACUGCAUCUCUUCAGUGCAACAGU